rnacentral:rRNA from 1 species
GUAGCGUAUAUUAAAGUUGUUGCAGUUAAAACGCUCGUAGUCGAACUUCGGGCCUGGCGGGAUGGUCCGCCUUACGGUGUGCACUGUCUGGCCGGGCCUUACCUCCUGGUGAGGCCUCAUGUCCUUUACUGGGUGUGGGGUGGAACCAGGAAUUUUACCUUGAGAAAAUUAGAGUGUUCAAAGCAGGCAAACGCCCGAAUACAUUAGCAUGGAAUAAUAGAAUAGGACGUGCGGUUCUAUUUUGUUGGUUUCUAGAGUCGCCGUAAUGAUUAAUAGGGACGGUCGGGGGCAUUAGUAUUCCGUUGCUAGAGGUGAAAUUCUUAGAUUGACGGAAGACUAACAACUG